AACGAACGCUGGCGGCAUGCCUAACACAUGCAAGUCGAACGAGACCUUCGGGUCUAGUGGCGCACGGGUGCGUAACGCGUGGGAACCUGCCCUUAGGUUCGGAAUAACUCCCCGAAAGGGGUGCUAAUACCGGAUAAUGUCUUCGGACCAAAGAUUUAUCGCCUUUGGAUGGGCCCGCGUUGGAUUAGCUAGUUGGUAGGGUAAAAGCCUACCAAGGCGACGAUCCAUAGCUGGUCUGAGAGGAUGAUCAGCCACACUGGGACUGAGACACGGCCCAGACCCCCGGGGGAGGGAGGGGGGGGGAAUUUGGGAAAAAGGGGCAAAGGCUUACCCCAGAAGUCCCGGGGGAGGAAUGAGGCCUUGGGGUUUGAAAGCCUUUUUACCCGGGAAGAAAAAGACAAGCCCGGGGAAAAAAACCCCGGCUAACCCCCGG
rnacentral:rRNA from 1 species